rnacentral:rRNA from 1 species
UACGUAGGUGGCAAGCGUUGUCCGGAUUUACUGGGCGUAAAGCGCGCGCAGGCGGUUUGGUAAGUCUGUGGUGAAAUCUCUCGGCUCAACCGAGAGGGGUCUGCAGAUACUCCCAGACUUGAGUGCCGUAGACGAAGAUGGAAUUCCGGGUGUAGUGGUGAAAUGCGUAGAUAUCCGGAGGAACACCAGUGGCGAAGGCGGUCUUCGAGGCGGUAACUGACGCUGAGGCGCGAAAGCGUGGGGAGCGAACCGG